ensembl:misc_RNA 7SK 7SK RNA
GGGCCAUCUGGCUGCGACAUCUGUCACCCCAGAUUGCCAGGGCUGAUUCAUCUGAUCUGGCUGGCUAGGUGGGUGUCCCCUUCCUCCAUGUGCCUCCCUCCCAAAGCUGCAUGCUUAGUUGAAGAGGACCGCCUUCCCUGAAUAGAGAUGGACCAGUCGAGGGUAUAUGAGUAGCUGCGCUCUUCUGCUAGAACUCCAAACAAGCUCUCAAGGUCCAUAUUUACACACACACAUGUGUAAUUUAUGUUGUAUAGCUUAACACAAUGCUAUGCCCCAAUUGUAUUGCAAUA